GAUGAACGCUGGCGGCGUGCCUAAUACAUGCAAGUCGAGCGAGCAGGCGAGGAGCUUGCUCCUCUGACGUUAGCGGCGGACGGGUGAGUAACACGUGGAUAACCUACCUAUAAGACUGGGAUAACUUCGGGAAACCGGAGCUAAUACCGGAUAAUAUAUUGAACCGCAUGGUUCAAUAGUGAAAGACGGUUUUGCUGUCACUUAUAGAUGGAUCCGCGCCGCAUUAGCUAGUUGGUAAGGUAACGGCUUACCAAGGCAACGAUGCGUAGCCGACCUGAGAGGGUGAUCGGCCACACUGGAACUGAGACACGGUCCAGACUCCUACGGGAGGCAGCAGUAGGGAAUCUUCCGCAAUGGGCGAAAGCCUGACGGAGCAACGCCGCGUGAGUGAUGAAGGUCUUCGGAUCGUAAAACUCUGUUAUUAGGGAAGAACAAAUGUGUAAGUAACUAUGCACGUCUUGACGGUACCUAAUCAGAAAGCCACGGCUAACUACGUG
rnacentral:rRNA from 1 species